ACAAUUUUCCUCAAGAUUGGCUC
rnacentral:snRNA from 1 species